rnacentral:tRNA from 1 species
CGGGGUGUAGCGCAGUUGGUAGCGCGCCUGCUUUGGGAGCAGGAUGUCGGGAGUUCGAGCCUCUUCACUCCGACCA